GACUAACGCUGACGGUAUGCCUUAUACAUGCAAGUCGAACGGAAAGGUCUCUUCGGAGAUACUCGAGUGGCGGACGGGUGAGUAACACGUAGGAAUCUACCCUAGAGUGGGGGACAACCAAGAGAAAUCUUGGCUAAUACCCCAUAUGUCUUCGGAUGAAAGAAUUUCGCUCUAGGAGGAGCCUGCGCUUGAUUAGUUUGUUGGUGGGGUAAAAGCCUACCAAGACUACGAUCAAUAGCUGGUUUGAGAGGAUGAUCAGCCACAAUGGGACUGAGAUACGGCCCAUACUCCUACGGGAGGCAGCAGUAGGGAAUCUUGCGCAAUGGACGAAAGUCUGACGCAGCAAUACCGUGUGCGGGAAGACGCUCUGUGGAGUGUAAACCGCUGUCAGGUGGGAAGAAUAAAUGACGGUACCAUCAAAGGAAGCACCGGCUAACUCUG
rnacentral:rRNA from 1 species